AGUGAACGCUGGCGGUAGGCCUAACACAUGCCAGUCGAACGGCAGCACAGUAAGAGCUUGCUCUUACGGGUGGCGAGUGGCGGACGGGUGAGGAAUACAUCGGCAUCUACUUUUUCGUGGGGGAUAACGUAGGGAAACUUACGCUAAUACCGCAUAAGACCUACGGGUGAAAGAAGGGGAUCUUCGGACCUUGCGCGAUUGAAUGAGCCGAUGUCGGAUUAGCUAGUUGGCGGGGUAAAGGCCCACCAAGGCGACGAUCCGUAGCUGGUCUGAGAGGAUGAUCAGCCACACUGGAACUGAGACACGGUCCAGACUCCUACGGGAGGCAGCAGUGGGGAAUAUUGGACAAUGGGCGCAAGCCUGAUCCAGCCAUACCGCGUGGGUGAAGAAGGCCUUCGGGUUGUAAAGCCCUUUUGUUGGGAAAGAAAAGCAGCAGGUUAAUACCCCGCUGUUCUGACGGUACCCAAAGAAUAAGCACCGGCUAACUUCGUG
rnacentral:rRNA from 1 species